AGCGAACGCUGGCGGCGUGCCUAACACAUGCAAGUCGAACGUGAAAAGGGAAACCUGAGUAAAGUGGCGUACGGGUGAGUAACGCGUAGGUAAUCUACCCCAGAAUCUGGAAUAACCUGCCGAAAGGCGGGCUAAUACUGGAUAGAGCGAGGGAACUCGUAAGAGAGUUUUUCGGGAAAGGGAGCCCGCAAGGGCCUUCGUUCUGGGAUGAGCCUGCGUCUCAUUAGCUAGUUGGUAAGGUAACGGCUUACCAAGGCGAUGAUGAGUAGCUGGUCUGAGAGGAGGAGCAGCCACACUGGAACUGAAACACGGUCCAGAAUCCUACGGGAGGCAGCAGUGGGGAAUCUUGCGAAAUGGACGAAAGUCUGACGCAGCCACGCCGCGUGAGUGAAGAAGGCCUUCGGGUUGUAAAGCUCUGUCGGAUGGGACGAACAUCUUCAUAGUGAAUAGCUAUGAGGACUGACGGUACCAUCAAAGGAAGCACCGGCUAACUCCGUG
rnacentral:rRNA from 1 species